rnacentral:misc_RNA from 1 species
UGGAGUUUCCACAAAAUAUUUCAAUGCUUUUGUCUUAAGGCCACUAAAGACAGAUUCAAUAUCGAUGGUCUCCUCCGAGGACGGGUAGUCUUAAAAGUAAAUGUAGACGCUUCUUAUGACUACUGCUCUGCCAAAGCUAGAUAUGGUGUUCUUGUUCGUAAUUCAGAUGGAUGUUUGUUAAAUGGUUGUGCAGAUUCCUUCAUCUCUUUAUCUCCACUCCCUGUAGAGGCAUUGCACUGAGAGCUGCCCUGUCUCUUUUCAGUAGUGGAAACAUUCAUUCUUGCGUUAUUAAUCAGAUUCUCUUCAGCUUUGUGAUUUGUUGUCUGCUCCACAAGACUCCAUCCCCUGGCAUUUGUGGCUGUCAUUCCUGAUAUCAAA